AACAAAAACAGAACACUCUUAGAUGUUGAAUAAAACCAGUCACAAAUCAAUGCCUGCCACCACUCACCAUCAUCAUAUGCCUACCUUCAAUACAAACAUAAAAUGUCAAUAUAAUCUUUGUUUUCAAGACGCAUAAAUUCAUGUUAACAACUGUACCUGCAUAUGAGAAAGGGACAUCUUUGGGUCUCGUAACGGUGGAGAGGGAAAAAUUAUGAGAUCGGCGAUGGCUAACCGAGAAUCGUGAUCGUCACUUCCGACGUCGGAGGUCAAAAGAAACGGGGAGGUUCCUCCACAAACGCUGUUUUGUGGGGUUCUCAUUGAGAAGAUACAAAUUGCAAUUGACCAGAACAGAUAAUAAACCAAAUAUGAACCCUAAAAUCCCAAUUUCACAUUAGUAACGGGCAUUACCUGUUAAAUUGAACCUGCAGAUCCUUAGCCAUGAGAGAAAAAGGUUGAGGUAGAGAGAAGGAAGGCGAACAUUGAAGUUUGGGAGAAAUGAGACGCUGCAAGAAGUGUGAAUCCAUCAAAAUAAACUCUGCUAAAAACUGCCCAAAUUCAUGAUUUACUUCAGAAAACCCAUAAACGCAUAUACCCGGAGAGAUUAAAUGUGAUGGAUUACUUACAAUUUAGUAUAUCUGAUGUUGGGAUCGGGAAAGAGGACGUACAUGGUCUUUUGGUGCGUUUCAUGGGGAGCUUGUGUCUUCUUCAAUCCAAAAGCGAGUUAGGCUAUAGGGUGUGGGGGUCAUGGUUGGAUCAUGAUUUGCCACAUAGGCCCAUUAUUCAUGCCCUAUACCACCCCCUUCAUUAAAUCACGGUGGUUCGCGUGGAUUAAACCACGACAACCACGUCCCCCCUUUUUUCCAUUAUUCACGCAAACCCUAAUCCCAACAUCAAGAAAACGAUCGCAGCAGCAAAUUAUUUUCCUUUGUUUGUGAUAAUCAAGUUGCACAAGAAAAGAAUAGCAGAUAUUUUGUUAUAUCUCAAUCCACAGGUAUUCAUCAUGAUCAGUAGGAGAAGCAUCUAUGUUUCUAAAACAGGGUUCAACAUUUAUAAUGUGAUACUCAACUUUACACCAUUUAUUGUCUCACAAUGACAUGUUACCAUCAUCUAGAUCAGUGGCGGAUCUAGGAUUCCGACCAAGAGGUACAUGGGAUAGGUAAAUCUGGAUCAUCCGUCGUUCGAGACGUUGGCAUGGACCCAAAGAUGAAGAAGGCGAUAAUUGAUGAUUUGGAUUUUUUUUUUUGGGAGAGGAAGGAGUUUUAUAAACAGGGGGUACCUGUUGUAUGGUCCGCCUGGGACUGAGAAAUCGAGUUUGAUUGCUGCUACAGCUAAUUACAUGAAGUUUGAUCUAUGACUUGCAUCUUAGCUCAUUCAGGAUCAGGCACUUUAGCCGACUGUGGAAUGGCACAUGGAGGAGGGUCGUGUUCAUGGACUCAUGUGUAUACUAGCCGGAGACACAACAAUUGACUUUAGAUGGCGGAAUGACAGAAGUUUUGACCAGAGUGUUUUCACAACCUCAAAGAGAGUUCCUGUCUACUUGGUGUUCCCAUAAUCGUGAGCCCACUGAAGAGAAUAUUGUUGUGGAUUUUAAUCCCACAUCAACUGCUGGACAGGUGUUGGGUUUGACAUCAAAAUUACACGUCCGACAUUCUUCUUGGAAUACCUUUGAGGCUCCUCAAACUCCUUACGCGGUUCAGAGGUCAUCUUUACUAGUCAAAGUUAUAGCCAAUCUCGCAUGUUGUGACCCCGAUCCAUGUGAAGGUAAAUAAUCUAGCCAACAAAAAAAAGUCUUUAGUGCAAAGUGCAAACCCCAUCAACGAUUAUUAUGUUUAAGAAAGUGAUGAUCACAACCAAAAAACGAAAAGGAACAUGUAAUUUACCUUAGGGGGAGCAGACACGUUGCCCUUGUAAAAGUCUUUCGAGAUGGAUGCUUCUAGUUGAUGUAGGGCAACAAGAAUCUAACAUGUGGGCGUUAUACAACGAGACUACGCAUAACCAUCUUCGUUCGGAUUUGAUUGAACAUAUUUGACAAUUUGGUCGGGUUAACAACGAAUAGUUUUUUUCUUAAUUUAUAUUAUGUAGUUUAAAUUUGGAUGUUAUUUUUUUAUUAAUUUGAAUGUUAUGUAGUUUAAUUACAAAAAAUUAUUUAA